AUCUGGGCUUGUCUCUUGUCUUCCGGCUUCUAGAGAAUGUUUUGGAUGUCGGGGAGGGAAUCUGUGAUCUUCGAAGAGUGGUGCUCCUGAUUUGCGGCUCCUGGAUGUUCUCCAUCUCUCUGCUGCUGGCGGCGGAGGCUCUCUGGGAGCAGCCCGUGCAGGCUGCGAGGGGUCAGUCCUGGUGGAGUGGCGUAUGUGCUCGCGACCGAGCUG